rnacentral:rRNA from 1 species
CUAGUAACUGCGAGUGAAGCGGGAAAAGCUCAAAUUUAAAAUCUGGCGGUCUCUGGCCGUCCGAGUUGUAGUCUGGAGAAGCGUCUUCCGCGUCGGACCGUGUACAAGUUUCCUGGAACGGAGCGUCAUAGAGGGUGAGAAUCCCGUCUUUGACACGGACAGCCGAUGCUUUGUGAUGCGCUCUCGAAGAGUCGAGUUGUUUGGGAAUGCAGCUCAAAAUGGGUGGUGAAUUCCAUCUAAAGCUAAAUAUUGGCGAGAGACCGAUAGCGAACAAGUACCGUGAGGGAAAGAUGAAAAGCACUUUGGAAAGAGAGUUAAACAGUACGUGAAAUUGUUGAAAGGGAAACGCUCGAAGUCAGUCGCGUCCGCCGGGACUCAGCCUCGCAAUCUUGCUUGGUGUAUUUUCUGGUGGACGGGCCAGCAUCAAUUUUGGUCGCCGGACAAGGGCUGGAGAAAUGUGGCACCUUCGGGUGUGUUAUAGUCUCCGGUCACAUGCGGCGGUCGGGAUUGAGGAACUCAGCACGCCUUUACGGUCGGGGCUUCGCCCACGUUCGUGCUUAGGAUGCUGGCGUAAUGGCUUUGAACGACCCGUCUUGAAACACGGACCAAGGAGUCUAACAUGCCCGCGAGUGUUCGGGUGGAAAACCCGUGCGCGUAAUGAAAGUGAAAGUUGGGACCUCUGUCGUGGAGGGCACCGACGCCCGGACCAGAACUUCUGUGACGGAUCUGCGGUAGAGCGUGUAUGUUGGGACCCGAAAGAUGGUGAACUAUGCCUGAAUAGGGUGAAGCCAGAGGAAACUCUGGUGGAGGCUCGUAGCGAUUCUGACGUGCAAAUCGAUCGUCAAAUUUGGGUAUAGGGGCGAAAGACUAAUCGAAC